GACGAACCGUGCGAACGUUGUUCGGAAUCACUGGGCUUAAAGGGCGCGUAGGCGGGCCACCCAGUCCGGGGUGAAAUCUUUCGGCUCAACCGGAAAAGGGCCUUGGAUACUGGUGGUCUGGAGGAAGGUAGGGGCAUGCGGAACUUCCGGUGGAGCGGUGAAAUGCGUUGAUAUCGGAAGGAACGCCGGUGGCGAAAGCGGCGUGCUGGACCUUUGCUGACGCUGAUGCGCGAA
rnacentral:rRNA from 1 species